rnacentral:lncRNA from 11 species
CAAAUUCUAGGGAACAUGCAGAAAACAAAAGGCUUGUCUUGCCAGAAGAUAGGAAUUCACUUGAGAGAUAGUUAAAAUGAGGACAGUUCUGCAGGUGCUUUGUUUUCUAGGGACCUUCUGUGUGUUCUUUCAAUAGCAGGAAAUAAAUAAAUAGGAGGAAGGACUUUGCCAGACAUUGUCCAUUCCACGCAUCCCUGGAACAACCCAAUGUCAAGUGCAAACCUGAAAGAAAAGAAGGGCUUCAGAAGGGUGAGCCUCUGAAGCAAACACAACCCUUAGGACCACCGUUCCC